AUUGCCUUAGUAACUGCGAGUGAAGCGGCAAAAGCUCAAAUUUGAAAUCUGGCACUUUUGGUGUCCGAGUUGUAAUUUGGAGGGGUAUCUUCGGAGAAUGGCACCGUUCUAUGUUCCUUGGAACAGGACAUCACAGAGGGUGAGAAUCCCGUGCUUGGACGGACCAGCCAUAAUCCACAUGAAGUGCCUCCGACGAGUCGAGUUGUUUGGGAAUGCAGCUCAAAAUGGGUGGUAAAUUUCAUCUAAAGCUAAAUAUUGGCGAGAGACCGAUAGCGCACAAGUAGAGUGAUCGAAAGAUGAAAAGCACUUUGAAAAGAGAGUUAAAAAGUACGUGAAAUUGUUGAAAGGGAAGCGCUUGAGAUCACACUCAGUUAAUGGUGAUCAACUGUUGCUUUUGCUCAGUGCACUUGCCAUUUGAUUGGGCCAGCAUCGGUUCUUGCAGUGGGAAAAACGGCUGGGGAAUGUAGCUCUUUCUCUGGAGGAGUGUUAUAGACCUUAUCAUUCAUACUGCUAGCUAGGACCGAGGACUGCACUCAUUUUAUGGGUUAGGAUGCUGGUGUUAAUGGUCUUAAGCGACCCGUCUUGAAACACGGACCAAGGAGUCUAACAACUAUGCGAGUGUUCGGGUGGAAAACCCUUGCGCGUAAUGAAAGUGAACGGAGGUGGGAACCUAAAAAAACAAAUUUUUUUUUUUUUUUUU
rnacentral:rRNA from 1 species